rnacentral:lncRNA from 10 species
UGACAUUCCUAGAGUGGGAGUGCUCUCCUACCCUUCUUGUGUGUGACUAGCUACCUACUGUAACAACUUCCCUUUCAAGAGUCCAAGACCUCAAUUCUUUGGAGAAAAAUGGAUGAAGUCUACAGUAGAGUGCAGUGAUGUGUUCGGCCUUCACAUUCACUCACUAGUGCUUCAUUGACUCACCCAGAGCAACUUCCAAUCGUGCAAGCUCCGUUCAAGUUCCAGGGAUGGAAUCCGAGUGAUCGCUAAGGCAAUUCAUAUAUUUUACCCACCUUAGGAUAACUGGUUUAGGAUUGGACAAACAAUCUCAGCUGCUUCAAUCAGACUCACUUCCUUUCAUUCAGAUGGAAGAUGGGAAAACACAAUGCUAUAGACUUUGGAAUAUUGUAUGGGCUCGUAAUCAGCGUACUGAAUUUCAAGCCAUUCCUUGGCCACUCAAUGGCCACUACUAAAUCACACAACCCACCCAACUGGAGAAUUAAAUCAAAUAUCUGGAGCAAUUUAAUGUGCAUGCAUUCGUGGCCACAAAAAUGAAGAUACAAAUAAGUGCUGGAUAUUAGACCUUCGUCAGACACAUAGACCAGUGGAACAGAAUAGAGAACCCAGAAAUUAGAUCACUCAUCUUCAACCAUCCAAUCUUCGACAAACCUGACAAAAAGCAAUGGGGAAAGGACUCCCUGUUCAAUAAAUGGUGCUGGGAGAAAUGGCUGGCCAUAUUGUGUCUAGAAUUUAUUCCUUCCAGUGGGUUCUUGGUCUCGCUGGCUUCAAGAAUGGAGCCGCAGACCUUUGCAGUGAGUGUUACAGCUCAUAAAGGUGUUGCAGACCCAAAGAGUGAGCAGCAGCAAGAUUUACUGUGAAGAGCGAAAGAACAAAGCUUCCACAGCAUGGAAGGGCACUUUCCGCUGCUGGCUCAGGUGGCCAGCUUUUAUUCCCUUAUUUGGCCCCACCCACAUCCUGCUGACUGGUCCAUUUUACAGAGCCCUGAUUGGUCCAUUUUACAGAGUGCUGAUUGGUGUGUUUACAAUCCUUUAUCUAGACACUGAGCACUGAUUGGUGCGUUUUUACAGAGGGCUGAUCAGUGCGUUUAUUUUCCUUUAGCUAGACACAGAGCGCUGAUUGGUGCGUUUUUACAGAGUGCUGAUUGGUGCAUUGACAAUCCUUUAGCUAGACACAGAGUGCUGAUUGGUGCAUUUUUACAGAGUGCUGAUUGGUGCAUUUACAAUCCUUGAGCUAGACACAGAGCGCUGAUUGCGUUUACAAUCCUCUAGCUAGAUAGAAAAGUUCUCCAAGUCCCCACUUGACCCAGGAAGUCCAGCUGGCUUCACUUCUCAAUAUGUAGAAAAUUGAAACUGGACCCCUUCCUUACACCACAUACAAAUAUUAAAUCAAAAGAGAUUAAAAACCUAAAUGUAAAACUCAAAACUAAGAAAACCUUGAAAGACAGCUGAGGCAAUACCAUUCGGGACAUAGGCCAUGAGCAAAGAUUUCAUGAGAAAAAUGCCAAAGGCAACUGCAAGAAAACAAAAAAUUGACAAAUGGGACCUAACUAAACUGAAGAACUCUGCACAGCAAAAGAAACUGUCUGCAGAGUAAACAGACCACCUACAGAAUGGGAGAAAAUGUUUGCACUGAUUUACUUUCACAAAGUCAGUUUGUGAAAGAAAAAGAGAACAAGUGGAAUUUGAAAGGCAAUGGCUAAUUUCUUAUGCAUCAGUGAAGACAUUGGAAUCCAAUAGAGUUGAGUGCAAAGCCCACCCUGCCCCAAUUCUGUGCCUAUAAAGACCUCAGGCUCAGCCAGCAGAGAGGAAAAGUGGCUGGAUGUUGAGAGAGGCAGUUUGACUCCAGAGAUGGCAGCUGGAUGUCGGAAAGCAGCAACUUGACUUCACAAGAGAGAGGCAGAGGUGACUUAAUAUCAGAGGAGAGCAACCUGCCCUUCCCAUCCCCUUUCCAUCUCCCCUCUUGCUGAGAGCCGCUCUCGUCACGCAAUAAAAUUCACCACAUUCACCAUCCUUCAAUUUAUAUUUGCGACCUCAUUCCUCUUGGGCACCGGACAAGAAUUUGGGAUGCACCAAGUGUGGACACCCACAAAGGCUGUCACAGUGGCCCUUUGCCAUUGCCAGCAGAGGGCAGCUGCCCCAUGCAAUAAGCCAAAGGGCUGGCUGAGCUGAUAACACACUGCUUUCUGUGGACGGCGGCGGAGCUAAAAGAGUAUUGUAACAUGCCCUCUGGGGCCUUGGGGAACCCCACCUGGAUCCUGCCAAGAGGCCUGCAUGAAGUUUGCUCCUGCCAGCACUAAAGCAGCCAGUUUUUUCCUGCACUCACUCACCUGCACACUUCCUCCUGCGAUGGGUGGGACACAGUCAACCUGAGUGAGCAGAGUUUGCUCAUGCAGGCACCUAAAUUGCUGGCAAGUUCCUGAGCUCAUUCGCUUCAAUUCCCGUACUCAUUUGCAUGGGUGCUCCCUCCCACAAGGGGUUGAACAGGACAGGUUGAGUAAAUGGUGCACCCCUCUUUUGAGUCCCACCAAGGGUCAAGAAAAUAUCCUGCAUCACUUUGUCAACUUAUGCCACUUAAAGGACAUGCUGCCUACUUUAGACUUAUUUACAAGUUUGCAUAAUUUUUAGACAUAGACAACGCCGUUUAUCUCUGCAAUUACUAUCAAUUCUAACCUAGGAAGCACCAAGUUAAUGGCAAUAAAAAAAAAAAGAAUAAACAACUGUUUCCAGCAACAAGGUGACUGUACCAGUAAUUAAUUUAUUGCCUUCCAGAGGCAAAUUCACUAUUGCCUGUUCUGAGAAAAAGAAUCUGGGCCCUUCAAAUAGCUGCCAGAAUGUAAAAACUUGCCAGCAGAUGGUGGUGGAGAGAUGCUGGAGGUGGAAGGGAUUUCAUCCCAGGUCUGGUAUGCUCCCUCAUCAGGCUCUCACAGUGGAACACACCUUCUCCAACACCUGGCUCCUGUUCAGCAGCACCCAGAGACCAUCAGCUUCCUUUUGCACUCCUUUCAGAUAAUUUAGCAGUUGAGUCUCUCUGGAAAAAUCAAUAGCUUUCCAUGACACCCCAGAGGAUGAAUCUCCUGCCUGCCCAAAAGGCAUAUUUUCAGCAAUUUCUUCCAGUACAGCCCCACUGCAACUACUCUGCCACCCAGUGAGAGCCACAUUCUCUUUUCUUUUUUUUCUUUUUUUUAAUUUUUGAUUUCCAACUUUUAAGCUCAAGGGAACAUGUUCAGGAUAUAGAGUGUGCAGUUUGGUACAUAGGUAAACAUGUGCCUUGUGGUUUGCUGCACAGAUCAUCCCAUCACCUAGGUAUUAAGCCCAGCAUCCAUUAGCUGUUCUUCCUGAUGCUCUCCCUCCUCCCAUGCCCCACCCUCCAACAGGCCCUAGUCUGUGUUGUUCUCUCCCCGGCAAUUCCUCAAAGACUUAGAGGCAGAAAUACCAUUUGACCCAGCAAUCCCAUUAUUGGGUAUAUACCCAAAGGAAUAUAAAUCAUUCAAUCAGGAACAUAUACGCAUGUGUACGUUCACUGCAGCACUAUUCACAAUAGCAAAGACAUGGAAUCAACCUAAAUGUCCAUCAAUGAUAGACUGGAUAAAGAAAAUAUGGUACAUACACACCAUGGAAUACUAUGCAGUCACAAAAAGGAAUGAGAUCAUGUCUUUUGUAGGGACAUGGAUGGGGCUGGAAGUCAUUAUCCUCAGAAAACUAAUGCAGGAACAGAAAAACCAAACAGUGCAUGUUCUCACUUAUAUGUGGGAGCUGAGUGUUGAGAACACAUGGACACAUGGUAGUGAGCCACAUUCUUACCCUUUCCAAUAAGGCUUGAAUCUCAUCUUGGUAGGGAGGGAGCAGUCUUACUGGAUGCUGUAUUUCAGCACCAGGGAUUGGAGAACACUCCCUCACUUUUGCAUCAGCUAAUCCUGUACUCUAUAAAAUUCUUUUCAUUUAUUACAAUCCUAUUCCUCCAUACACAAAUCUCCUGUUAAAAUUAAUAACUUUUAUAUCAAACUUCCUCUGUUCACAUUACUGUGUUGGUUUCUCCCUCCUGAUUGGAUCACAACUGAUACAAUUGGGUUAAAUACUUUUUCAUAAAAUAAAUUAUUAAAUCCAUUCCUUUAGUGUGUAAGUAUUUAGAGUUUACAAAUUACUGAGAUUUAAUUCUACAAAUUAUACAUAUUUACAAUCUAGGUGAAGGCACUCAAGAGAUAUUUAAACAUUUCCCCUCUAAGACAUCAGUUUAAAGAAAGACAGAAAGAAAGAAAGAAAGAAAGAAAGAAAGAAAGAAAGAAAGAAAGAAAGAAAGAAAGAAAGAAAACCCUUUGCUAGCACAAAACAGUCCCCAAAACCUUACUGUUGGGGUUGAGAAACUGAUACCUCCUAUGGCACUUUGGAAUGCUGAGUACUUUGAAUCAAAGGAGUUGAAAGACCAUAGAAGCAACUUCAGAACCAAUGUCACUCUGACCUCCUGCUCUUCUGUCUCUUACCCUCUUUCUCCUGCAAUAGUGCAAGGAGGGGCUCUCCCUGAACUUUCCUUAUCUGUCUAAAGAUUGGCCCUCUAGAAAGAAUACACUUGUCAUGAGUGUUUUUCCUGGGAAUCUCAUCAGCCAGGGAAAAGUAAAAGUAUCACAGGGGAGGAAACUGAAAGUUGACAACAUGCCCAGGCAGAUUUUAUCACAGACUAUCGCCUCUUUUUCUGAGACUGUUUAUUACCUGAAAGACCUUUUGUUUGCAUAACAAGACAACCUUUGUUCACCCUGCAUUUUCUCCCCUCACUCUCCCAUAACUUGUGUCACCACCAACCCUAGAAUCCCCAGGCCUGUAUUCCUUUCUUCAGCUCAAGAUGUUAUAUAUGUUUCAAUCAUCUGCCCCCUUUUCAAGUCUCAUAUUUUGUGGGACUCCUAUGUGUAUGCAAAUAAUUAAAAUGUUUUUUUCUCCUGUUAGUAAUUAUCAAACCUUCAGAGGAUAAAGAAAGUUUCCUUUCUCUAUAUUAAUAAUCUCUAGUCCCAACAUUCCAUUCCUCAUUCCCCAGCAUUCACACACACAUUUCCAUGCUGCUUUUCAACAAAAAGUUUUAUUUCCUGCAGUGUAGCAAAAUAACAUGAUUCUAAGUUCUCUUUUAUAAAAUCUGUUAGCUAUUAUAAUUCCUUCACUCACUUUCCCCUUUGUAAUAAAUUUUUCCCCAUCCAUUAAAAUAAUAUGGGCUUAGUAGAAUGCUUAAAAAAUAAAGAUCCACAUGAAAAAUUUAAAGUCAUGUAUAAACAUAUAAUUUAGUGAUAAUUAGUGUUAACAUUUUGGCUCAUUUUCUCUUUGCCUUUGUAAAAUUACAUUAGUCUUGGAUUUGUUUCUUUUCCUACCCCUAUCACAAAAGAUGCUCCUCUUCAUCCAUGGUUACUAUUUUAGUGUGCCCUAAAGGAUAUCACAGCUGAUAUGUCAGGCUACAGUUGUAACUUCCCUAAAAUUAUGACCUUCUUCUAUCGUUGAUGUUGUCACCACGUGGUAAUGAAAUCUUAGGAUAUUAUAAAUAGUUUGGUAUUUGAUUCUCAUAUUUAAUAAUGAAUCUAGAGAUUUCAGGGAAGAAAUAAAGUUGAUAUUGUUUGGAUAUUUGUUCCCUUUAAAUGUCAUCUUGAAAUUUGAUCCUCAGUGUUGGAGGUGGAGCUUAGUGAAAGGCAUCUAGGUCAUGCAGCACUCCUAGCACCUCCAAGGUCUGCUUUUUCAAAAGAGUCUGGAGCCUCCCUUUAUUCACUUUUUCCUUCUCUCUCACCGUGUGUUGGUUUCUCUCCUUUCCCUUCUGCCAUGAGUGAAAACUUUCUGAAGCCCUCAUCAGAAGCAGAUGCUGGUACCAUGCUUGCACAGCCUGCACGAGUGUAAGCCAAAUAAACCUCUUUUCUUUAUAAAUUCCUCAGCCUCAUAGUAUUCCUUUACAGCUAUGCAAAUGGACUAAGACAAGAGUUGAUCCCCUUCAACCACACAGAAAAAGACUUCCACUUUGUUGAAUUUGCUUCAUUUACAAACAAAACUCUAAUAAUAAUAGUAUACAGAGAAUUAAAGAAUACAAUUGAUCAUAUGCACUGACUUAGAAAAGGAAUGCACAUGGGAUGGCAAAAUAGAGAAGGCUUCUUGUGAGUGUGUGGGGGAGGCAGGAUAGGGUUAUCUGGGUCUUUAAAAAAACACUUGACUUAAGCAGAGAGGGCUAUGAGAGGGCUUAAUAAAAGUACAGAGGUAGAAAUACAGAAGAGGUAUAAAAAUAACAAAUAGUCUUAUGUGAUUACAACUUGACAUAUGUAAUUUAGCGGAAGCAUUUUCUACUUCUGAAACAAAUUAUGAUUAACACUUCCUGUAAUAGGUUUAUAAUUAUGUAAACCUAUUUAAAUCAAUCAUUUGCACAACAAAAUGAAUGAAUUAAUUUGUUGCAGCUGUGUUUACUGAGGCACACAUGUAAAGCAAUUUUAAAUGCUGUCAAGUAACAAUGAUUUCGUUUCAUGACUCACACUAAGUGAGAAAUUCUGAUUUUUUUAAGACAAAGUUUAAAAAAUCAAAAACUUAAAACUCCUGGAACUAAAAGCAUAGAAGAAAAGCUUCAUGACAUAGGACAUGACAAUGUGUUCUCACAUAUGACACCAAAGCACAGGGAAAGAAAGCAAAAGUAGAAAAGGGACUAUAUCAAACUCAAAAACUUUUGUGCAUUGAAGGACACACCUAACAGCCUGAAAAGGCAACCUAUGGAGUAGGAGAAAAUAUUUGCAAAUCAUAUAUAUCUAUACAUAUAUAUGGAUAUGAUAGUAAAUUGUUAUACAGAAAAUAUAAAAAGAACUUCUAUAACUCAAUAACAAAAAUCAAAUAACUUAUUUUUUUAAAUGGGCUAAGGACUUGAAUAGAUAUUUCUCCAAAAGUAAUACGCAAAUGGACCACAGUCAUAUAAAACAAAUAUUUGACAUCAUAAAUAAUUAGGGAAAUGCAAGUUAAAAUCACAAGAUAUCAUCUUACAUUCACUAGUAUGACUGCUAUCAAAAAAAUGAAACAAAACAGAAAAUAACAAAUGUUAGUGAGAAUGUGGAGAAAUUGGAACCCUAGUACACUGUUGGCGGGAUUGUGCAACCACUAUGCAAAAAUUAUAAAAAAUUAAAAAUAGAACUACCAUAUUACCCAACAAUUCCACAUCUGGGAUUUUAACCAAUACUUUUAACCAAAAGUAUUGAAAGAAGAGUCUCAAAGAGAUAUUUGAACACUCAUGUUUAUAGAAGCACUAUUUAAAACACCAACAAGUAGAAGCAGCCCAAAUAUCCAUUGACAAGUGAAUGGAUGAAGGAAAUGUAGUAUAUACACAUACAAUGGAAUAUUAUUCACCCCUAAAAAGGAAAUCUUGUCACAUACUACAGCAGGGAUAAGCCUGAAUGAUAUGCUAAAUAAAUAAGCCAGUCACAAUAAGACAAAUACUGUAUGAUUCAACUUCUAUAAAAUGGUGAUUACUAGGGACUGAGGUGAAAAAGUUCUAGAUAUAUGUAUUACAACAAGUUGAAUAUACUUAAAACUACUGAAUUGCACUCUUAAAAUGAUUAAAAUGAAGAAAAUACAUGUUUUUAACUACAAUUUAAUUUUUUUUAAAUCACAAAUUUAGUGAUAGGUAUGUGGCUUUAUAGAUGUUUUAAUCCAAACUUCACAUUUUAACAAUAAAAGUACUAGGACCUUAGAAGAUGGGUGACUGGUUUCAGAUUAUCCAGUCAAGAUGAAAAUUUAUGCCUUCCAAAUUACCACAUCUUAGGUGUCUUCAUCUGCUAGCUUAAUCCCAGGUUGUUCCUGGACUAUCUCUACAUCAAGCAGUGAAAGCUUAACUCCCUUCAUGUUUUACGAUGGAUAAAUAUGUGAGGUGAAAAUCAAGAGGCUAGCAUUGACCCAAUGUACAUCAUCUAUCAAGGAGACAAUGUUCGUUUGUUCUUUGAUGAAUCUCUAAGACAACAUUGUCAUGAUUUUGUUUUCAUCACACAUUUGCAUUAGGU